GAUGAACGCUGACAGAAUGCUUAACACAUGCAAGUCUUUGGCGAAGCUGUGCUCGCACCGCCUAGCCAAGGCGGACGGGUGAGUAACGCGUAAGGAACUUGCCCUGCAGUCAGGGAUAACAGACGGAAACGACUGAUAAGACCUGGUAAAGUCAGGCGGACUCAUGUCCAGCCUGAUGAAAAGAGAUGCUGCAGGAGAGCCUUGCGUCCUAUUAGCUUGUUGGUGGGGUAACGGCCCACCAAGGCGAUGAUAGGUAGCCGGCCUGAGAGGGUGGACGGCCACAAGGGGACUGAGAUACGGCCCUUACUCCUACGGGAGGCAGCAGUGGGGAAUAUUGGACAAUGGGGGCAACCCUGAUCCAGCAAUUCUGCGUGCACGAUGAAGGUUUUCGGAUUGUAAAGUGCUUUCAGCAGGGAAGAAAAAAAUGACGGUACCUGCAGAAGAAGCGACGGCUAAAUACGUG
rnacentral:rRNA from 1 species